GUAAUGCUUAGGAAUCUGCCUAUUAGUGGGGGACAACAUCUCGAAAGGGAUGCUAAUACCGCACACGUCCUACGGGAGAAAGCAGGGGACCUUCGGGCCUUGCGCUAAUAGAUGAGCCUAAGUCGGAUUAGCUAGUUGGUGGGGUAAAGGCCUACCAAGGCGACGAUCUGUAGCGGGUCUGAGAGGAUGAUCCGCCACACUGGGACUGAGACACGGCCCAGACUCCUACGGGAGGCAGCAGUGGGGAAUAUUGGACAAUGGGGGGAACCCUGAUCCAGCCAUGCCGCGUGUGUGAAGAAGGCCUUUUGGUUGUAAAGCACUUUAAGCGAGGAGGAGGCUACCGAGAUUAAUACUCUUGGAUAGUGGACGUUACUCGCAGAAUAAGCACCGGCUAACUCUGUGCCAGCAGCCGCGGUAAUACAGAGGGUGCAAGCGUUAAUCGGAUUUACUGGGCGUAAAGCGCGCGUAGGUGGCCAAUUAAGUCAAAUGUGAAAUCCCCGAGCUUAACUUGGGAAUUGCAUUCGAUACUGGUUGGCUAGAGUAUGGGAGAGGAUGGUAGAAUUCCAGGUGUAGCGGUGAAAUGCGUAGAGAUCUGGAGGAAUACCGAUGGCGAAGGCAGCCAUCUGGCCUAAUACUGACACUGAGGUG
rnacentral:rRNA from 1 species